GUGCCAGCCGCCGCGGUAAGACAGAGGGUGCAAACGUUGUUCGGAAUUACUGGGCGUAAAGCGCGUGUAGGCUGCUUCGCAAGUCGGAUGUGAAAGCCCUGGGCUCAACCUAGGAAGUGCAUUCGAAACUGCGAAGCUUGAGUUCUGGAGAGGGUCGCGGAAUUCUCGGUGUAGAGGUGAAAUUCGUAGAUAUCGAGAGGAACACCGGUGGCGAAGGCGGCGACCUGGACAGUGACUGACGCUGAGACGCGAAAGCGUGGGGAGCAAACAGGAUUAGAUACCCUGGUAGUCCACGCCGUAAACGAUGGGUGCUAGGUGUCGCGGGCUUUGACCCCUGCGGUGCCGUAGCUAACGCAUUAAGCACCCCGCCUGGGGAGUACGGCCGCAAGGCUAAA
rnacentral:rRNA from 1 species